UUCAGCGUACGUCAUUAUUUUUAUCCUAUUUUAUAAUAAAGUAAUAAUAUUUAUCAAAUUCAAAAGUAGGCAAAUACCCAAUUAGUAAUUUUAUUACUAUUCUAGAGCCGAGUACUCUAUUAAAAUAUCACCAUGGUAAUCAUUUACAUUACGAAUUUUUCUUUUUAAAUUGACCCCUUUUAGUGCUGAUGUACCAGGUACCCUAGCAAUAUGACUAACGAAUAUGAAAGUCUUGUAAUUACUAUCUUGUGAACAGACUUGGUGGGAUUCCUAAUAUCCACCCUCUUUUGGUACCUAUUAUUACCAGGGUAAUCAAUAUCACCAGCGUAAUAUGAGGAAAUAUGACAUAUUUCCUCCGAUUACGCUAGUAAAUGAGUAGGUUUUUUGAUUCAGGAUGGUGGGUGGCUUAUUUUAAAUCUUGAUUCAGAUUCAGGAAGGUUCUAGAAUCUUGUGGAAAUCUAGUAAUAUGCUAGCAGAGUGAAGUACUGUGCUAAUUAGUUGGGAGUUUACCACUGUUACACAAUUAUUAAGACCAGUUGGUCUUAAUUUAUUUUAGAACCCUAUUUCUACACGUCUCUCCUUUACAUACGUAAUAUUAAUAGUUUUAUACCAGUGACAAGUAAAUAUAAUGGAAGAGAUCUAAGAUUGGUCACUAUAAUUUUUUUUCAAUUGAAAAAGUUUGUACAUCCACCCCAAAAAUUGGGCAAAAGUUAUAAUGAACGAAUUACAUAGGCUGUGUUUUUUAUUAUUACACUAAUUAAUUAUUAUAAUUGGCAAUAAAAUAGGUUUUUCUAUUUUGAUAUAUUUGACGAAAUUAAAUUUAUUUUGAUGACGUUCUUUAUUGAGAUCUCUCAAGCGUAAUCUCUGCUCAUAAAGAAACCAAACUUGUGCAUAAGAAAUGUUUCUAAAACUUCACACUAUUCUAAACAUUUUAUAAUUAUAUAAUUUCUUUUAAUAUUUAUUCGUUACAUAAGUUGAUGAUUUCUAAAUGAUCAGAGUGAAGUAUAUUUUCCGUCGAUAAAAAUCCAAUGUUGCGUGUCUAAGCCAGCAUUCCGCGGGCCUGAAAGUACAAAUUAAUAUGUAUGUUAAACAGUUAUUAGGUUAACCACACAUCAUCAGUGAACAAAUUAAAUGUGGGAGUACCAUUAGAUGUUAACUUCUUAUUUUCCUCAAUUCCCUUACACUAUCACUUAGCCUAAAAAUAUAAAUACACAGGGUGUAAUUACAACGCUAGCAAAAACGAAGACAGGUACUGAUGAUUACUGAUCACAAAAAACACGCGAAAAAAGAGUUUAAAUUUUUAAAAGUUUGCAAUGUAUUGCAAAUAAAACAUCUGGCUGACGCUAGACGCGAUCUAACACCCUGCAUAAAAAGAAAAGUCAUGACUUACUCUAGUAACUAGUCUAGUUCAAGGUCUACCUAGAACUAGACAAGGAAUUAGGCUACAUUUUUUUAAAUUGCUAUUAAUUAGAUAGGGAAUAAAGAGGGAUUUUAUAAAUUUUCGCCGAAGGAAGCCGUGGGUAGUUUCUAGUUAUGUAAUAUUCCUUUAUUCUAGUUCGUGGUGUGUGCUUAACCUUAUAAAUGAAUUCAUAGAUUUAUUAGUUUUGCACGCUAUUGUAUUCCUUAUUUUACAGUAAUAAGAUUGCUAUUACUUUAAUUCUUGUAUUUAUAUAGAGUAGUUCUAACCCCCAAUUGUAACCACAUAAUUACUAACUUAUUCUCUAUACUUAUGAGUUGUGACUGAUUUGGAGAGUGACACUGAUGACAUUAUACUUUUAAUUUGAGAUUUAUACAGUGUACUUUGACUUUGUUCAGACUUAAGUUUUUUUUAAACUAAAUAGGCUUGCGCUUGACUGCAAUCACACAAAACAGACGAUGCAGCUUAUGGUGGAGCGCGCCUGCCCAGAAGGUACCUAUUCACUCUUCUUUUGAAGGCACCAAUAUUAUAGCUAGAGGGAAAAAUGGAAGCCGGAAGGACAUUCCUAAUCUAGCAGUGCGUAUUAGAAACGAGGAAGCGAAUCGCUUUGUACGAGUCCGUGUGAUUUCGCUUAUGAAAGGGUCUAGACCGUGGCGAUGCCUGGAGUUUCAGUUAAAACAAGACAGUGUUAUAUAGCUGGCAUACAUUUUUCUCGUUUAAGUCUGAGCAAUGUCAAUGUAUAGUACGCGACAGGUUGAGAUGACAAUCUGACGCCCCGCACACCCGAACAUCACCCGCAGUGGGUUAGCGCGGGGGCUGUGCGGAUGUGCGGGGCGUCCCCACCCUGGUUGCAAUCUCAACCUGUCACGAACUAUACCUACUCUCAAUAGAUCUCAGCCUUAUCUAUUUUAAGAAUUAGACUAAUGAGUGCUACUCAUAGAAUACGUAAAAUAUAAAGAUAGGAUACACUCACGUUGAAUGUUUUAGCAACGUGUGUAUUGAGGCUUGUACUCACGACGACCAGCGUGAGAAUUUUAGGCUAAUUUUUGGAGACUUGUAUCUGUAACAUUCAAAGAAAGAAAAUGCUUAGUGGACGAAAUAUUGAUCAUGUUCUAAGAAUCUUAUCUCAAAGGAUUGAGCUUACAAUAAUGUCGUGAUUGUAUUAUUUCACGGAAGAUUUCGUUCUUUGAGUGUAAAAUAACUGUAAAUUUUAUCAAAUAUUGGCCUUUCCAUUGUGCCUCAGGGCUUGGUGACUCAAACUCUAUUUUUUUAAUGAUGGAUAGAGUCCUUUUAAUCCCUCUUGUUUUCCAUGUCUCCCUGUCUUUGGCUGCUGCCUUGACAUGGUUCUACGACAAUCCCAGUCUUUUAAGAUUUGCUUCUAUUGUUUAUAAAGUACUAUAAAAUUACCUAUUAAUAACGUGAGUAUUUUAUAUUUGCACUCACGUUUUGAGUAUUGAAAAAUGUAUAAGUACAGAAAGUAUAACACGAAAAAAAAUUUCUCACGUCACCUUUUGUUUGGCGGAGAUUUUUUUAUAAAACUGCUAAAAAUAGAGUUUGAGUGAAUAAGUCUGUAUGAACUAUAAGCACUAUUUUUGCUAUGAAUAUACUUACCAAUAUACAAUUUAGAUACGCGUGUUUUCGAGGUUUUAUAAAAUUUUGUAACUAUUCAUCCAUUUUGGAAUGUAUCUCAUCUCAUAUGUUUACUGUAGAACUUUUAGGAUAAUGGAUCUUAAGGAAAAAAACAUGAAAUGCAACUUGGCAUGAACGAGAUUUGGCAAGGAUUUCGAAUUAUUUUGAACAAGGUAGUGUGACAAUGACCAAGAUAUUAUUGACAUAAAUUAUU